ensembl:lncRNA
GUUUCUUGCCACCGAACCAUCCUUGACUAAGACACCUUACGACACAGCUGCUGGCCCGCCCCCGGCUUGCCUCCGGCUCGCCCCCCACCGCCCACUCCCUCUCUCUUUCCUUCUCCCGGAGUCUGUUUCCCGUUUCUAUUGAGACAGCCACGCUGCACACACAGGGCCUGAAUUCUCACUUGAACAAACGCUGGCCUGGCCUGGUCCCAAAGAGGACAAGCAGCAACCCCGUGACUUAGCCACACAACAGCGCAGCGGAGAAGGCGAUGGCACCCCACUCCAGUACUCUUGCCUGGAAAAUCCCAUGGACGGAGGAGCCUGGUAGGCUGCAGUCCAUGGGGUUGCGAAGAGUCAGACACGACUGAGCGACAUUUACUUUUUAUGUACUACUGCCCAGCGCAGGUGGGCUCAGUACAGUCUCUGGAACAGACUGACAGAGGCUUCACGCAACACAUGCUUCCACAGCCACCACCAAGGCCAGGAGGAAACGUGGUCACACCCUAUGGCACGUGGGAUCUUAGUUCCCCGACCGAAGAUCGAACCCCUGCCCCCUACAGCGGAAGCACAGAGUCUUAACCACUGGACCACCAGCGAAGUCCCUGCCACAGAUGAACAUCCCUACUUAUCGACAUUUCUGAUUGAAAGGAUGAUUCUGGCUGUGCUCUCCCAGAGGAAAUGACUCGAUUGAAAUGUUGGGAGAGCAAGUCUGCCUUCAUCCAUGAAGCCUUGGAAUCGUGAAUGACUAUUUGUUUAUACUCUGAAGCCUUUCACUUUGGAAUUCUUGGCGAUGCUCACUUCAGUUCCUGGAGAUGCGCAACUGAAUCCAGAAGGAGCAUCUGUCUCAGUCAAGACUCACAGGGAUCCGCCUGGAGCCACAGUCGACAGGCCAGCCCCUUCCUCCUGCCAGCUUACAGGACAGCCCAGACUUUCUCUGCGAGUGGUCCAUGGCUAAUCUUAGUCUCCGAUGUUUUUGUUGAGAAGCAGAACAUGUCUUACGUGCAUAUUUAGUUUAUGAGAGAGAUAGCAGAAAACAUCACUUUUCUGCCCUCAAGUAGUAGGAUUAUGACUAUGUUUUUAUUUCCGUCCAAAAAUUCACAUAACAUUAAAAGGGAAAUGUAACAUAGUAAUUGAAACAAAUUGGAAAUUUCUAUGGCCAUAACAUUUAUGAGUUCAAAUUUCAUGUGAGCACAUGGAAAUAGUUAGUGAGCAUAGGUUGGCAGCAUCCAAAUUACACCUAAUAAAAUGGCCACAGCGAGAAAAGUAACAUAAGAUCAUUUACUUAUCCUACCCAAUUCGCUGCUUUACUUCAAUCCGUUACUAUUCCCAGUCAACCAGACGCAGCCAGCCUGCUCACCCUGAAUUGCUGACAAUGGCUGCUGGUGCUGUCUGUUUGCUUGUUGGUACUGUUUCCUUUGGCUGGUCAGAAACUUAGCAGGUGUGAAACAGAGCCCUGUUCCCUUUGCAAGCUUGUUGAUCAUCUGGGCCGAGCUAAGAAAGAUUCGAAGGAUAGAGAGCAGUUGCACUCAGCUAAGCAGUGCUCCUGUCUACACCCCAGAUUAAGUCUGCAGGGUUGCAGGGGUGGGAAGACGCAUGGGCCAGCUGCUCCCUUAAGGAAUCAGAGAAAUGCCCUGGCUCUCUGUGCUGUGCGAUGAUCCCCUGGAGCAAGGGUGAGGCUCACG